rnacentral:misc_RNA from 1 species
GAUGAAGAACGCAGCGAAAUGCGAUAAGUAAUGUGAAUUGCAGAAUUCAGUGAAUCAUCGAAUCUUUGAACGCACAUUGCGCCCGUCAGUACUCUGGCGGGCAUGCCUGUUCGAGCGUCAUUACGCCCCUCAAGUCCCCUGUGGACUUGGUGUUGGGGAUCGGCGAGGCUGGUUUUCCAGCACAGCCGUCCCUUAAAUUAAUUGGCGGUCUCGCCGUGGCCCUCCUCUGCGCAGUAGUAAAACACUCGCAACAGGAGCCCGGCGCGGUCCACUGCCGUAAAACCCCCCAACUUUUUAUAGUUGACCUCGAAUCAGGUAGGACUACCCGCUGAACUUAAGCAUAUCAAUAAGCGGAGGA